rnacentral:tRNA from 1 species
CGGGGCGUAGCGCAGUCCGGUAGCGCACUUGACUGGGGGUCAAGAGGUCGCCGGUUCGAAUCCGGCCGCCCCGACCA